rnacentral:rRNA from 1 species
GAUGAACGCUGGCGGCGUGCCUAACACAUGCAAGUCGAGCGAAGCACUCUACCUGAUUUCUUCGGGAUGAAGGUUUAGUGACUGAGCGGCGGACGGGUGAGUAACGCGUGGAUAACCUGCCUCAUACAGGGGGAUAACAGUUAGAAAUGACUGCUAAUACCGCAUAAGACCACAGGGUCGCAUGACCCGGUGGUAAAAACUCCGGUGGUAUGAGAUGGACCCGCGUCUGAUUAGAUAGUUGGUAAGGUAACGGCUUACCAAGUCGACGAUCAGUAGCCGGACUGAGAGGUUGAACGGCCACAUUGGGACUGAGAUACGGCCCAG